UACGAAGGGACCUAGCGUAGUUCGGAAUUACUGGGCUUAAAGAGUUCGUAGGUGGUUGAAAAAGUUGGUGGUGAAAUCCCAGAGCUUAACUCUGGAACUGCCAUCAAAACUUUUCAGCUAGAGUAUGAUAGAGGAAAGCAGAAUUUCUAGUGUAGAGGUGAAAUUCGUAGAUAUUAGAAAGAAUACCAAUUGCGAAGGCAGCUUUCUGGAUCAUUACUGACACUGAGGAACGGAAGCAUGGGUAGCGAAGAGGAUUAGAUACCCUCGUAGUCCAUGCCGUAAACGAUGUGUGUUAGACGUUGGAAAUUUAUUUUCAGUGUCGCAGCGAAAGCGAUAAACACACCGCCUGGGGAGUACGACCGCAAGGUUAAAACUCAAAUGAAUUGACGGGGACCCGCACAAGUAGUGGAGCAUGUGGUUUAAUUCGAAGAUACGCGCAGAACCUUACCAACACUUGACAUGUUCGUCGCGACUCUAAGAGAUUAGAGUUUUCGGUUCGGCCGGACGAAACACAGGUGCUGCAUGGCUGUCGUCAGCUCGUGUCGUGAGAUGUUGGGUUAAGCCCCGCAACGAGCGCAACCCUCACUUUUAGUCGCCAUCAUUAAGUUGGGCACUCUGAAAGAACUGCCAGUGAUAAGCUGGAGGAAGGUGGGGAUGACGUCAAGUCCUCAUGGCCCUUACGUGUUGGGCUACACACGUGCUACAAUGGUAUCUACAACAGGAAGCAAGGCUGCGAAGUUAAGCAAAUCCCUAAAAGAUACCUCAGUUCGGAUUGCACUCUGCAACUCGAGUGCAUGAAGCUGGAAUUACUAGUAAUCGUGGAUCAGCGUGCCACGGUGAAUGCGUUCCCGGGUCU
rnacentral:rRNA from 1 species